AGUGAACGCUGGCGGUAGGCCUAACACAUGCAAGUCGAACGGCAGCACAGUAAGAGCUUGCUCUUACGGGUGGCGAGUGGCGGACGGGUGAGGAAUACAUCGGAAUCUACUUUUUCGUGGGGGAUAACGUAGGGAAACUUACGCUAAUACCGCAUACGACCUACGGGUGAAAGCAGGGGAUCUUCGGACCUUGCGCGAUUGAAUGAGCCGAUGUCGGAUUAGCUAGUUGGCGGGUUAAAGGCCCACCAAGGCGGCGAUCCGUAGCUGGUCUGAGAGGAGGAUCAGCCACACGGGAACUGGGACAGGGUCCAGACUCCUACGGGAGGCAGCAGUGGGGAAUAGUGGACAGUGGGCGCAAGCCUGAUCCAGCCAUACCGCGUGGGAGAAGAAGGCCUUCGGGUUGUAAAGCCCUUUUGUUGGGAAAGAAAAGCAGCAGGUUAAUACCCCGCUGUUCUGACGGUACCCAAAGAAUAAGCACCGGCUAACUUCGUG
rnacentral:rRNA from 1 species